GUGCCAAGCAGCCGCGGUAAAACCAGCACCUCAAGUGGUCAGGAUGAUUAUUGGGCCUAAAGCAUCCGUAGCCGGCUCUGUAAGUUUUCGGUUAAAUCUGUACGCUCAACGUACAGGCUGCCGGGAAUACUGCAGAGCUAGGGAGUGGGAGAGGUAGACGGUACUCGGUAGGAAGUGGUAAAAUGCUUUGAUCUAUCGAUGACCACCUGUGGCGAAGGCGGUCUACCAGAACACGUCCGACGGUGAGGGAUGAAAGCUGGGGGAGCAAACCGGAUUAGAUACCCGGGUAGUCCCAGCUGUAAACUAUGCAAACUCAGUGAUGCAUUGGCUUGUGGCCAAUGCAGUGCUGCAGGGAAGCCGUUAAGUUUGCCGCCUGGGAAGUACGUACGCAAGUAUGAAACUUAAAGGAAUUGGCGGGGGAGCACCACAAGGGGUGAAGCCUGCGGUUCAAUUGGAGUCAACGCCAGAAAUCUUACCCGGAGAGACAGCAGGAUGAAGGUCAAGCUGAAGACUUUACCAGACAAGCUGAGAGGUGGUGCAUGGCCGUCGCCAGCUCGUGCCGCGAGAUGUCCUGUUAAGUCAGGUAACGAGCGAGAUCCCUGCCUCUAGUUGCCACCAUUACUCUCAGGAGUAGUGGGGCGAAUUAGCGGGACCGCCGCAGUUAAUGCGGAGGAAGGAAGGGGCCACGGCAGGUCUGUGAUGCCC
rnacentral:rRNA from 1 species